UGGCGGCACAUGGGCUCGAGGUCAUGAAUGGCGUAUCAACAUUGAUUUAUUAGAGUUUGCACCUCAAAUAUGUUUUCAGGGCAUGCUUAACCUGUCUUAUUGAAAAGUACACUUUCUCCAAUGAGAGUAUAGGAGGAAUCAGUGGUGUGAUACGUGAAUAUAUGGAUUCUGGAAGAAGAGACAACAGGCCCCGGAUUGAAGAGAACAGUGCUGUGACAGAUUCCUGGAGCACCUCCUACAGAGCCAUCAGCUAGCAUCCAUACACAU